AUUGAACGCUGGCGGUAGGCCUAACACAUGCAAGUCGAACGCGAAAGUCCUUCGGGAUGAGUAGAGUGGCGGACGGGUGAGUAACGCGUAGGAAUCUAUCCUGUAGUGGGGGAGUAACGUUUCGAAAGGAACGCUAAUACCGCAUACGCCCCAACGGGGGAAAGGCGGGGGAGUCUUCGGACCUCGUGCUAUAGGAGGAGCCUGCGUCGGAUUAGCUAGUUGGUGAGGUAAAGGCUCACCAAGGCGACGAUCCGUAGCUGGUCUGAGAGGAUGAUCAGCCACACCGGAACUGAGACACGGUCCGGACUCCUACGGGAGGCAGCAGUGGGGAAUAUUGCGCAAUGGGGCGAAAGCCUGACGCAGCCAUACCGCGUGUGUGAAGAAGGCCUUCGG
rnacentral:rRNA from 1 species